ACGGGAGGCAGCAGCUAAGAAUAUUCCGCAAUGGGGGGAACCCUGACGGAGCGACGCCGCGUGGGCGAUGAAGGCCGGAAGGUUGUAAAGCCCUUUUAUGGCAGAGGAAGAAGGAGGGGAGGGAAUGCCCCUCCGGUGACUGUAGGCCAUGAAUAAGCACCGGCUAAUUACGUGCCAGCAGCCGCGGUAACACGUAAGGUGCGAGCGUUGUUCGGAAUCAUUGGGCGUAAAGGGCGUGCAGGCGGACCCGCAAGCCGGGAGUGAAAUACCGGGGCUCAACCCCGGGGCUGCUCCCGGAACUGCGGGACUGGAGUCGCUGAAGGGGAGCCGGAAUUCCAGGUGUAGGGGUGAAAUCUGUAGAUAUCUGGAAGAACACCAAUGGCGAAGGCAGGCUCCUGGCAGACGACUGACGCUGAGACGCGAAGGUGCGGGGAGCAAACAGGAUUAGAUACCCUGGUA
rnacentral:rRNA from 1 species